rnacentral:lncRNA from 1 species
CUAUUUCAGGUGACAUUUAGUGAUGUGGCUAUAGACUUCUCUCAUGAAGAGUGGGCAUGCCUAGAUUCUGCUCAGAGGGACUUAUACAAGGAUGUGAUGGUCCAGAAUUAUGAGAACCUUGUCUCUGUAGCAGGUCUUUCCAUAACUAAGCCAUAUGUGAUCACAUUGUUGGAGCAUGGGAAAGAGCCCUGGAUGGUGGAGAAAAAACUGUCAAAAGGUAUGAUUCCAGGUUGGGAAUCAAGAUGGGAAAACAAGGAAUUAUCAACAAAGAAGGAUAUUUAUAAGGAAGAUUCACUCCAAACAGUAACAAUAGAAAAAGUUUUAAAACAAAGUUAUGAAUUUUCAAAUUCUACCAAGAAUUUGGAACACAUAGAAAAGUUGGAAGGGAAGCCUGGAAUUCAUGUAGAACAUUUCAGACCAGCAACUCUCACCUCUAGAGAAAGCCCCACUGGGGACAGUUACAAAUAUGACACAUUUAGAAUCACCUUUCAUUCAAAGUCUACUCUUUCUGAACCAUAAAAAAAUUCUGCUAAAGGGAAUUCACACAAAUACAAUAUAUUAAAGAAGAAUUUACCAAAAAAGUCAGUUGUAAAAAAUGAGAGACUCAAUGGUGGAAAGAAACUCUUGAAUUCUAAUAAAAGUGGAGCAGCCGUUAACCAGAGCACCUCUCCUCACCACACUUAUAAUAGAGAAAGUCUAUACAUCUAGGGAAUGUGGGAAAGCCUUUGGCAAACAGUCAAUCCUCAAUCGCCACUGGAGAAUUCAUACAGGAGAGAAGCCCUGUGAAUGUCGUGAAUGUGGGAAGACUUUUAGCCACGGCUCAUCCCUUACACGACAUCAGAUAAGCCAUAGUGGAGAGAAACCUUACAAAUGUAUUGAAUGUGGGAAGGCCUUUAGCCAUGGCUCAUCACUUACUAACCAUCAGAGCACUCACACUGGAGAGAAACCAUAUGAAUGUAUGAACUGUGGAAAGUCUUUUAGGCGUGUGUCCCAUCUUAUUGAACAUCUAAGAAUUCAUACGCAAGAAAAACUCUAUGAGUGUCGUAUAUGUGGAAAGGCCUUCAUUCAUACGUCGUCUCUCAUUCACCAUCAGAAAAUCCAUACUGGAGAGAAGCCUUAUGAAUGUAGAGAAUGUGAGAAAGCUUUCUGCUGUAGCUCACACCUUACUCCACAUCAAAGAAUUCACACUAUGGAGAAACAAUAUGAAUGCAACAAAUGUCUGAAAGUCUUUAGUAGCCUCUCAUUUCUUGUUCAGCAUCAGAGUAUUCAUACUGAAGAAAAACCCUUUGAAUGUCAGAAAUGCAGGAAAUCCUUCAACCAGCUUGAAUCACUGAAUAUGCAUUUGAGAAAUCACAUUAGAUUGAAAUGUGAUUUCUAUCUAAUGAAUGCCAUAUAUGUGGGAAAGCCUUUAGUCAUAGGUCAUCCCUGCUUCAACAUCACAGAAUUCAUACUGGAGAGAAACCUUACGAAUGUAUUAAAUGUGGGAAGACCUUCAGCUGUAGUUCAAACCUUACCGUACAUCAGAGAAUUCAUACUGGAGAAAAGCCAUAUAAAUGUAGUGAGUGUGGGAAAGCUUUUAGCAAAGGCUCAAAUCUUACUGCCCAUCAAAGAGUACAUAAUGGAGAGAAACCCAAUAGUGUGGUAAGUGUGGAAAAGCCUUUAGACUAUAUGAAUCACUAUACAUGUGAGAAAUCUUACAGAAGAGAA